rnacentral:rRNA from 1 species
UCUUAGACAAUGGGGGCAACCCUGAUCUAGCCAUGCCGCGUGAGUGAUGAAGGCCUUAGGGUUGUAAAGCUCUUUCAGCUGGGAAGAUAAUGACGGUACCAGCAAAAGAAGCCCCGGCUAACUCCGUGCCAGCAGCCGCGGUAAUACGGAGGGGGCUAGCGUUGUUCGGAAUUACUGGGCGUAAAGCGCACGUAGGCGGAUUGGAAAGUUGGGGUUGAAAUCCCGGGGCUCAACCCCGGAACUGCCUCCAAAACUACCAGUCUUGAGGUCGAGAGAGGUGAGUGGAAUUCCGAGUGUAGAGGUGAAAUUCGUAGAUAUUCGGAGGAACACCAGUGGCGAAGGCGGCUCACUGGCUCGAUACUGACGCUGAGGUGCGAAAGCGUGGGGAGCAAACAGG